AAAAGCAGUCCAAGAGAAGUUAUCACUAAACGUGUUUGAGUCGUUCAGCACGCACGACUAUUAUGUGGAACAGCAGUGUACACAUUGUUUUGUGUUUGUGUGUGUCUGGUAAAAUAAUCAGUGUCAUUUGAUUUUAUUUACUUAAUGAUUCCAAAGGACAUAAUGCAUUCACGCGCAUGUGUAUUUCAUACCGCCAGGUACACUUUUGAUUUGUUUGAGCGAAGUGGCAAUACUAGUACUAGUUUUGUUCAUGGUUCACCUAAAAUCAAAUGUACAUGUUCAACGAUGUACAACUGUCGUAUGAAUUAUGUUUUACGCAGGUGAACCUUGGAAUAGGUGGUUAGUGUGGCAGUUUAUGAUAAGUUUGAUACGUGUGACAUAACAACUAACCUAGUUUUUGCGUCAGGCAAAUAACUUGUAAUAAUAUUAUAUUCACACAAUCGUAUUAAAUGGCGGUAUUACCAACAACAUUAUUAUUAUGCCUGUGUUUGCUGUAUUCCACAUUGUAGCAGUACAUUUAAGCCUAUUCUAUUAAUUCUUUACAUAAACUUCGUCAAAUUACUCGUUCGAACAGGUUCUUUGUCUUUGUAUACAACCUGCAAAGAUGGAUGGCUUCCAUUCAGAGGUUCAUGCUACCUAUUCCAAAUGGCAACAAUGCCAUUUACCACCGCAGAGGCAAAUAUCUCACUAUCUUUAUUCAAUGGAAAUUAAAUGACAGGCAAUGUUUUAACUAAUUUUAAACAAUCAUUUGAAAGAUAUGAAACUAGCUUCAGAGCGAUCUGAAAGAUUUUAAGAACAAUUUGAAAACAUAACAAUUACAAUUCAAUAACACAUUAAUCUCACAAUAUUUUAGGUAUUCGGAAAGAAAUGAUACAUUAGACUCAAAAGUAUAUUCGUGAUACUUUGUUGUUGUUUUUUCUACUUACUAGUUUUCAGCAAUUUUGUAGACAGCACGACAACAGUCACCUUGUCCACGUAAACGAUGCCAUGGAAAACGGAUUUCUGAAAGAUCGACUGCGCAUGUUUAAAGAUUCUGUUUGCUGAAUCGGACUUACGGAUGAAAACAUAGAAGGAGUUUGGAAAUGGUUCGACACAGAUGAUUUGGCAACGUUCACAGACUUCAAGCUUGGAGAUGGCGGUUCUCACAACACUAAGGACUGUGUUGGUUUCAUCGCUGGUUAUGAUAAGCUUUUGGCCGAUAUCUCAUGCUCUUUAUCAGUAUCUGUGCUGUGUGAAAACAGAUAUAUGAUAUGAUGCUGUGAUGGAAAACUGAGUAUCAGUAGCAAAACCCACAAGUCCGGUGGUUAUGCUCAAACAAGCUUACAUGCGCCUUGAUAUGUGAUUCGACCCGUGUCGCCAGUCCCGGAUUACCCACAAGGCAUAGAAGUGGGCACGGAGAAACAGAAGUUGUCGGAUGAUUCUCAAACUGCAAGCCACAUUUCAUGACUGCCUGGGUAAUCUGUUGACUUGUAAUCUGAAAGCAAAAUAAAAGUCAAAUGUG